ensembl:lncRNA
CUUGAGACAGUGAUGGCACCAUAAGACACCUGCAAGAAACAGCAUAUAGAGUCCAACGGAGAUCAGGACGACGGCAGGGAGUGGAAGGGAGAGAUCCCAUAACGGGACAACCUGAGAAAUAAACCAUUUCACAACACAACACUGUUGAGUUCUCGAUUCUGAUUGGUCAGACGGUGUUGAUUAAUUUUCUACCAUAGGAGCUCCGACAAUAUUCGCGGCAUUUACAAAUCGCAGAUUUAUUUUAACACGCUCGUUCUAAACACUUGUAUGGAUGGAAAACAUCAUCUAAAGAAAAAAAAUCUAAUAAUCCAUAUACUGAAGGCUUUAUUUUGAGUUCAUUGAAUAUUUACAGAAGCAGUCGGUAGGGUCUGGUAUGUUUUCCGAAAGGAGGAGGUAUGUUUUCCGAAAUUCUUCAGGACAGAGGACAGCUGUGCUGUUUUUCGGUUACAUGGCAAGCCGCAUUUUGUUUUGUUUUAGUACAUUUAAAAUAGAAGAAUAAAAGACAAUCUGGUGACAGAACGGCUGUAAUAGCUGCUAUAACGCAAGCAAAAACAGCUGUAAGAGGAAUUAAACACUUUGGGAUGUCAACAUCAGGGUCGUGACUGAAACUCAGCUUCCCAUUGUUGAUUAUUGAGCUAUAACAGCACGCCCACAAACGUUAUUUCCCCUUUAUUUAAUACACAACAAGGUCUGAGAUAAGUUAAUAAUGAUGAUAAUAAUAAUAAUUAUAUUAUUAUUAUUAUUUAUUUAGCGUUAACGACAACUACAUUAGAUUUGCUUGGUUCUGCAGCUUAGCUUCACUAGCUAACCGACUGAAAGGAAACCCAAGAGUACUCUUCCCUCUGUAUUCAGAUUACCAAUAAAACAGCUAUAGUUGUAAAGUCAAAUGUAACUAGCUACAAGAGCCAAUGUUGCUAACGAUGCUAUUGUUUAUACACACCGUCAUCAUCACACUCGUGAACUCCACUGUCUUUAUAAUCACCGCAUUAUCUAGUUAACCACAUCAUCUCGGCAUUUUACUUUCGUUAAUAAAACUAUACUAUUUUUUUCCCAUAAAACCAAUUCUCACUUAACGUAAAAACGUGGUUCAUCGGCGUUGUCCUGGCAACCAGGUAGCUGCCUGGCUUGUGCUUCUUCUUCUUCGUGGUUUUAAUGGUGACUUGUGAACCAGCUUUAGACAUCGCCACCUGCUGUACUGGAGGAUGGAACAGCUCCUCACAGCCCACUGAUUGCAAGACACAUCUGUCAAUCAAGAUAUACAGGAAGUACAGCAGGCUGCGGUAGUACUGGAAAGUCAAUUC